rnacentral:rRNA from 1 species
AUGCACGCUGGCGGCGUGCCUCAUCCAUGCCAGUCGAGCGCACAGACGAGGAGCUUGCUCCUCUGACGUUAGCGGCGGACGGGUGAGUAACACGUGGAUAACCUACCUAUAAGACUGGGAUAACUUCGGGAAACCGGAGCUAAUACCGGAUAAUAUAUUGAACCGCAUGGUUCAAUAGUGAAAGACGGUUUUGCUGUCACUUAUAGAUGGAUCCGCGCCGCAUUAGCUAGUUGGUAAGGUAACGGCUUACCAAGGCAACGAUGCGUAGCCGACCUGAGAGGGUGAUCGGCCACACUGGAACUGAGACACGGUCCAGACUCCUACGGGAGGCAGCAGUAGGGAAUCUUCCGCAAUGGGCGAAAGCCUGACGGAGCAACGCCGCGUGAGUGAUGAAGGUCUUCGGAUCGUAAAACUCUGUUAUUAGGGAAGAACAAAUGUGUAAGUAACUAUGCACGUCUUGACGGUACCUAAUCAGAAAGCCACGGCUAACUACGUG